GUGGGGAAUCUUCCGCAAUGGACGAAAGUCUGACGGAGCAACGCCGCGUGAGUGAUGAAGGUCUUCGGAUUGUAAAGCUCUGUUAAUCGGGACGAAAGAGCCUAGUGUGAAUAAUGCUAGGAAGUGACGGUACCGGAAUAGAAAGCCACGGCUAACUACGUGCCAGCAGCCGCGGUAAUACGUAGGUGGCAAGCGUUGUCCGGCAUUAUUGGGCGUAAAGCGCGCGCAGGCGGAUCUGCCAGUCGAUCUUAAAAGUUCGGGGCUUAACCCCGUGAUGGGAUGGAAACUACAGAUCUAGAGUAUCGGAGAGGAAAGUGGAAUUCCUAGUGUAGCGGUGAAAUGCGUAGAUAUUAGGAAGAACACCAGUGGCGAAGGCGACUUUCUGGACGAAAACUGACGCUGAGGCGCGAAAGCCAGGGGAGCGAACGGGAUUAGAUACCCGUGUAGUCC
rnacentral:rRNA from 1 species